AUCGCUUCUCGGCCUUUUGGCUAAGAUCAAGUGUAGUAUCUGUUCUUAUCAGUGUAAUAACUUUAUUGUAUAUCUUAAAGUUGCUGAGAAAGUAGAUCUUAAAAGUUUUCAUCACACACACAAAUUCUGUAACUGUGGUGAUCAUUUUGCAAUACAUACAAAUAUCAAAU
ensembl:snRNA U2 U2 spliceosomal RNA